AUGAGAUCAUUAUCUCUAGAAAGCAUCCCUGCGAACAAGAACAUGAAACUGCUAAUUCUUCUCUUCGCACUGUUUGCUCUUAGCUAUGCAAACUCAGACAUGACCGUUAAAACCUUCUCUGAAAUUAUGCGCAGACUUGAAAGACUUAAGAAGCGUCCGUUCAACGCAAUCAGUAUAUCAGAACCAAUCCAAACACCUCGGGAUGUAAAGAAUGCAUGUGAGUGCAAGAAGAUUUUUGCAGAACGCCUGAAGCACUUUCUGAAUACAGUUAUUGAUAGUAAGGUAGAACCCCAAACCCUGUUGGUCAGCAUUCGGGACAACCUGCAGCAUUUCUCUCUAAUGGAUGACGGGAAGGACAACUGUAACUUCAAGACGCAUAACCCAAAAAAACUGGCAUCAGAUGAUUUCAAGAAGUUGAUUCAGGACAACAUUGAUUUCAUCCAAAACUGGAAUGCACACUGCAAACCAAAACAUUAAUAAUGCAAGUCAAAAAAGUAACUAAACGGACGCCUUAGUCAAUAUCCAUAUAUUUAUUUAUUCUAUUUAUUUAUUUAUUUUGACCAGUCUGUGUUCUCUAUCCUCAAACUUGUUUGUAAAACGGAAUGUAUCCAAUUCAAAAAAGUGUUACUGUCUUUAUCACAGGAAGAAAAAUGAUCCCUAUACUUUAUUUUUUAAAGUCUUGACUUGUAUUGUAACAAUACAAACAUCAUGUUACAGAAUGAUCACAGAUUUGAUAUUGACUUGAAUUCUAAAUAAAGGGAAUAUUUUUAGAUCA
ensembl:lncRNA